AUGGAGCUGCACCCUACCCUCUCCCCUCCCUCAACACACCCCCUCCCAUUAAUUAACUAUGUUCAGGAACCAGGCAAAAGCUUGGGUUUUGAUUGGCUUAAUAAUAAAGCACAAAGCAACCACGUCUCCCUGUGUAUUACUCUGAAUCACAGCAUCACCACUUCACAGGGCCCUCCUUCAUUGUGUGUGUUUGCUCCCAAGUCAAUGGCACUUUCUCUUGCAGAGCUGUUUUUCCCGAGGGUGAAUCCCUGGAUGGUGGCUCUGGGUGUGAUCCUGUCUCUCCUGGCUGUUCUUAUUGGCCUGGCCAGUUACAGCUUCUGGAGGCAAGACAGAGCAAAAGCGGCGCAUCGUGCAGAGAAAGAGAAACUGCAGGGUGAACUCAAGUGGAGAAUAGCCCUACCAAAUGCAGGUUGGGAAAAAGCCCGACAAUAUGCAGACAGUCCCUACUCCAUCACACAGAUGUGCUGCGUGGCACCCGGUGGACCUUAUCUCAGAUGGAGGGGGGCAGGACAUUGGGAAACAGUUCCCUGACUGUCCCAGCUUCAUGAGCAACAGCCAAAUACGUAUGUAUUUACCCCACCCCAGAAUCCCCCAGUGCACUGCCCCCUCCUCGUGAGCCCAGCCCAGACACACUGCCUGUGCCUUG
rnacentral:lncRNA from 1 species